CAGCAGCCGCGGUAAUACGAAGGGUGCAAGCGUUACUUGGAAUUACUGGGCGUAAAGCGUGCGUAGGUGGUGGUUUAAGUCCGUUGUGAAAGCCCUGGGCUCAACCUGGGAAUUGCAGUGGAUACUGGGUCACUAGAGUGUGGUAGAGGAUAGUGGAAUUUCCGGUGUAGCAGUGAAAUGCGUAGAGAUCGGAAGGAACAUCUGUGGCGAAGGCGACUAUCUGGGCCAACACUGACACUGAGGCACGAAAGCGUGGGGAGCAAACAGGAUUAGAUACCCCAGUAGUCCCUGUCUCUUAUAC
rnacentral:rRNA from 1 species